rnacentral:rRNA from 1 species
UUGCACGCUGGCGGCAUGCUUUACCCAUGCAAGUCGCACGGCAGCGCGGGCUUCGGCCUGGCGGCGAGUGGCGAACGGGUGAGUAAUACAUCGGAACGUGCCCAGUAGUGGGGGAUAGCUCGGCGAAAGCCGGAUUAAUACCGCAUACGACCUGAGGGUGAAAGCGGGGGAUCUUCGGACCUCGCGCUAUUGGAGCGGCCAAUGGCAGAUUAGCUAGUUGGUGGGGUAAAGGCCUACCAAGGCGACGAUCUGUAGCUGGUCUGAGAGGACGACCAGCCACACUGGGACUGAGACACGGCCCAGACUCCUACGGGAGGCAGCAGUGGGGAAUUCUGGACAAUGGGCGAAAGCCUGAUCCAGCAAUGCCGCGUGUGUGAUGAAGGCCUUCGGGUUGUAAAGCACUUUUGGCGGGAACGAAAAGGACUGUGCCAAUACCACGGUUCGAUGACGGUACCCGCAGAAUAAGCACCGGCUAACUACGUG